GAUGAACGCUGGCGGCGUGCCUAAUACAUGCCAGUCGAGCGAACCUAUUUGUAGCUUGCUCCUCUGACGUUAGCGGCGGACGGGUGAGUAACACGUGGUUAACCUAUCUAUAAGACUGGGAUAACUUCGGGAAACCGGCGCUAAUACCGGAUAAUAUAUUGAACCGCAUGGUUCCCUAGUGAAAGACUGUUUUUCUGUCACUUAUAGAUGGAUCCGCACCGCAUUAGCUAUUUGGUAAGGUAACGGCUUACCAAGGCAACGAUGCGUAGCCGACCUGAGAGGGUGAUCGGCCACACUGGAACUGAGACACGGUCCAGACUCCUACGGGAGGCAGCAGUAGGGAAUCUGCCGCAAUGGGCGAAAGCCUGACGGAGCAACGCCGCGUGAGUGAUGAAGGUCUACGGAUCGUAAAACUCUGUUAUUAGGGAAGAACAAAUGUGUAAGUAACUAUGCACGUCUUGACGGUACCUAAUCAGAAAGCCACGGCUAACUACGUG
rnacentral:rRNA from 1 species